rnacentral:rRNA from 1 species
UACAGAGGGUGCAAGCGUUGUCCGGAGUUAUUGGGCGUAAAGCGCGCGCAGGCGGCCUCGCGCGCCCGACGUGAAAGCCCCCGGCUUAACCGGGGAGGGUCGUUGGGGACGGCGGGGCUUGAGGGCGGGAGAGGUCGGUGGAAUUCCCGGUGUAGUGGUGAAAUGCGUAGAGAUCGGGAGGAACACCUGUGGCGAAGGCGGCCGACUGGGCCGACCCUGACGCUGAGGCGCGAAGGCGUGGGGAGCGAACGGG